AGCAAGGUGAAGACGCUGCGACGCGCCAUCGACUACAUCCGGCAGUUGCAGCUGCAGCUGCAGCUCCACGCCGCCGGCGAGUGCCUGCACCCUCAGCGUCCUGACGUUGACGACGGCGUCUCUACGUCGCCGUGGACACGCAUCCCCGACUGCUGUGAAUUGCAGACGAGCGACAAAGAGAAUUCGACGUCGGGCCACCAGUUGCCGCCUCCGCAGCAAUGCCAGUAUACAGUUCCUCGGCAGGAGAACAGCGACACUGACAAGGUGUGCGCGACAGGGAACUACCUGCAAGGUCUCGACUGCGAUUUGGAUGGACUGCUGCGUGGCUGCUACCACCACCAACUCCUCUGACUGUUCCUGAAGACACAUCUCUGCCACUCGCCAGGGCUGCACGCUGAAAAGCGUACCCGAAGUCACCUAAGUGGACAUUUAGCUUUAGCAUCAGUGACGGUAGAGGCAGCAGGUCAUGUGAAGAGGACCGUGCGUGGGAAUGCGUGAAGAAAGAGGACGUUUCGUCAUAAAGCCAAGCGUGCUUAGCGUAUGCGGUAGAAGACAAAACUUAGAACGUCAGAAAUAACGGAGAAGAUGAUCGCACACUCUUUUUGCAAACUGCAGCUUGCGAUUAGGCUCUUAGUGUAUCUUUUAGGGACACGACAUUUUCGCUUCGCUAGUCACCGUGCCGCGCACAUCACCAUAUUUUGUCUUAGUUCGUCGGUAUAUAAACACUUCUAGGAGCGUUGAAGAUCUAGUCAUCAAGAGCUUGUCACAAGCCACGGUAUGUUUUCUACUGAAAAAGCGUUUCACAGAUGUCUCACUUUCGCAAUGCCGGGUGGUUAAGAGACAGUCAGAACAGUACUUGAUGCGAACUUUAAGAAUACACAGAAUUUUUGUCUUCUGAUUUCUAGAGCGAGUGUCUCAGAACUUCCUAGUGUAGAAUGCAGAGCUCGUCCCUUGAUUAAUGAAAAGCGCAAUUACUUUAACAGUUUAGUUAAUUACAGUGCAAAAUGCAUUUUGGAAUUGCAGAAAGUGUAAUUGGUAUUAGCAAUAAUGUUUGUAAAAGGAAGUAAACGUGUGGCGUAGUGAUAGGAAACCUGUGCUUAUUAAAGAUAAUAACUGCUGCAUAUGUCAGCCAUUCUAUGUAGGUGACGGCCUGUCAUUACACAUACCUCCAUGAUUUUGUUUCUUAUUUAUUUUUUAUAUUUUCUAAUACUUUUAAUCACUACGUCUAAAGGUAGAGCGGACUGUUGGAGUCGGAUUUUUCAUCCCAAUACCUAUAACGCCAGCUGGCAGUGCAGCAGAGUGAGUCGCAAUUGCGAAUAUUUAAGAGGCCACUAUCAGCUUCAGCAUUUCCUUUGUAACAAAGGGAGAUCCCGCGAAAACAUUGAAGGGAAACAGAGGAUGUAAAUCAUUUUUAACAUAAUUCUGGGUCAAUAUGAAAGCCUAGUGUAUGUGUAGGAGUAUUUGUUUACUUGUACACACAGCAAAGUCUAUGACGCUCGUCAUGUGCAGUGUAAAUACGUCGCUGUUGGGGCUAUGAUUCUAUUCGUAGUUCAGAGAAUACAUACAUUUUGUCGGAAAUUUCUCUCCAUAACCACCGUGCUCUCAUAUCUCUCUGAACAAAAUAAAUGCCUACCACUGUCACGAAUUACUGUCGAUGAAAGAAAGAUCAUUCAACGUUUCUCAUUUGAACGCCUGCAUCGUCAACCAAAGAGUCACAAAUCUGUUUUUAAAAGUAUUGCUAGAUAUCUCAGGUUUUAGACUUCUGCUAGUUAGUUCUCCAGCUGUUGCUGCACUAAUCUUUUCAUCUCUGCACAUGUAGUACAUCCAACGUCCUCAGUAAUCUACGACACUACCCUUCUCCACCAAAAAUACAAACUGAGAAAAAUUCAGGUUUCAUGCUCGAAUAAUUGAAAUAAAACUCCGAGAGAUGCUUAAUUUUGCGGAGAAUUCGUAACUAAUUUUACUUACUUGAUGCCUUAUCAUAUGCCUUAUGACACAUCUGAGUAUCUGAUAAACUUUUUCGUAUAAGGUUAUUUUCACAGUCACACUUACUAAUACCUCCAUAUCUAAUAACUCAUUUGGCCAUUCAUUUAUAUUUCUAUAAAAACGCAAUCAGAAGCUGCCCGUUUCCUGUUCAUCAGUUCCAUACCACCUGAUGACAGAUACCAACAUUUGCUCAACAAAUUUUCUUGGAUUAAAUUAAUCUGCUUCUGCUGCUUUCCUUGCUUUGACGAUUUACUGGAAUAGUGAUUCGAAGAUAUCGUAAUUAUUUCGGGUUUUGUAGCGUAUUAGAUGUGUAACUAAAGAAAUGACACUCUUUUCAACUGUUUUGUUCCAAUAAUUUUACAACUGAAUAUAAUCCCUUUCAGGGUACUUGCCUUUGGAAGCCAUACAAUGCUGGAGACGAUUCUUCCAUUGGUCAUUACAGUGCUGGAAGUCGGAUACUGGAAUAACCUUCAGCUGGUCGAUUACAGUCAUAUUAACGUUGUCCAAGACCCCAAAGCUACGUCCCUUGUGGUGUGUCUUCAAUCUCCUCACCGGUGAUGACAUGUCCCAGAAAAUAUGGAUUAUAUUCAAUCGAUUGUAAAAAGCCAACGCGCCUUUCUCUCCUGAUGUCUUUUUGGUCCUGUGCGAGGUUUCUCGGAACCAGAUUUGAGCAGAUUUUUCUCAUCCCCAAUUCCUAUGCUUCAAUCAAUCUGGCUGUCAAUCGAUGAUCUGCACAUACAAGAUGCCGGACUCAACUGCGAGGUAAAUCUUCAGUUGAUCGUCUUUCUUCUGCAAAUACCUUAAACCUCAGAAGUACAUCGGCCCUUGACAGAACACUGGCUCUGACGGCCUGCCUAAGUUUUGCAACAGUUUCCUUUACAGUAUGUCCAAAUCUGAAGCAAAACCUAAUGGCACACCGCUACUCGAAAUUUUUGUCACUCGUUGUCAGAACGGGCAAGAAAAACUUUCUUCACUAGAAGAGGAUCGCUAGAGACAAGCAACGAGACACUGGUGCGAUAUGACGUGCACUGAUGGCAUGUCACAUGUUCACCUGCCUCCCCUCCUAGUCAGGCAUAACCAGCGUUGCCGAAUCAAACACUACGCUCUCAGUCACAUUUCUUUAUUUGUACUCAUCGUAUUGCCCCAAAUACAGAUGGCUGGAAAACCCUUACUGUGUCUUCAACAACUCUUCACCACUUUCAUUUUGGCUUUCUUAUUGUUAACCCACUCCGACGAGCGAAGAAGCUGUACUGAUUAAGUUGCUGGAUUUGUAUUGUGGAAGAGCAGGGUUUGAGUCCACGUGUGACUGAUCUAACACACGUGUUGUUUCACUAAACACUCGAGACAAAUACCUACGCGGUUACUGCAACAAGACGAGGACCCAUUCCCUCUACCCUUCUUCCUAGCUAAACAUGCAGUUCCGUCUCAGUGGCCUCGGUGGCGAUGAGGACUUUAUACCUCCUUCCACUAAACUGACUUUUGAAGACAAAAUAGCUUAUUCGUAUUUGUUGGUAAAUGGACUGUAACUCCACAAUCCUUACCGAUCUCUUGCUUCAUUGACAGGCUUAUGCGAUAGCUUUAGGGAUGUAACACAGAAUAUUCAAUUACACCAACUUCCCACCAGCCUUCUUCACUCUUUAUAGACGUUUUAUUGGAAUGUCACACAGAACAGUUGUUUUAAGAGUUUUUAAAAAUCUGUUUCUACAAACUAAUCCCGGUACGUCAACUUCUGCAUCCUAUUUGAGUGUUUACCGCACACUCUACACUAGGUUCCUUCCCAGAUGUGCACAUGAACCUCGAUUUGUGUUUGUCACAAACACAGAGAGUAAGAGCAUUUCCUUUAGCAGCAUUCCAACAGUUUUUUUCUUGUUAAUUAAUCAUAUUACAUCUCAGGUUUUCUCUGCAUACUAAGGGGACGUCCAUAUAUUAAGUGAGGCACUUUUUUUUCUUUUUCCUUUUUCUUUUUUUAAUGGACCUCCUGCCCCCUUGGUAAGGUUUGGUCAGAUGUGGUGCGACAGCCCUCCUGUCUCUCACGUUACUUUUGCCCUCCAAUUUUUUAACAAUUCUACUUAAUUGAAAUGUUCAUGUUUUUGCUUCAUACUACUAAAAUACCUAUUACAUUGCUCAGAAUUAAUUUUACAAAUAAAACGUUAUCCGUUAUAAAAACGGAUAUCCUCGGAAUAUUCUGACAUUUGGCAGAUUUCAGGAUAGUUAAUUUGAUUAAACUCAUUAUAAUGCAUCUUAAACGUAGUUAUAAUUUCACCCCUAAUUUCAGAGAAAAAAUUUAGUAGCUAAAUUUAGAGCUUUUAGCUCGUGAUUAAAUAUAUUGUAUUUUAAACGUGCCAGUCGUGAGUAGAUUUGGACGGACGACAGGGAGAGACAGACAGUCAGACAAAAAAGUUCCGUAAAAAUAGUAUUAACCUUUUUGAAGGGUCCCUAAAAAACUGACCUUUUGUUGAUGUAUUAUAUACAUUACAUGUGACUGAUUAUACGUUCCUUUGAACCGUGUGAUUACGUAACUUUUCAAUCUCUUAAGUUAUGUGAUCAAUAAAAUAAUUCUCGUCGGUGAACUUCAGCUUACCUGUCUUCCACAAACGGCUAACCCCACGGUGGCGCGUUUGUUUCGCCUUGUCCGCAUGCUGCUUUCCAUACGCACUGUAAAAGUUUUGGUAGAGAUUCAUUUUGAACACAGUAACAUAAAGAUUAUAUGCGUUGCAGGAUACCACCAGUGACUCCAUGACUGGGACGCAGUGAUUUCGACUGGCACGGCAGGGAACUCUCCGAAUGAAAUCUCACUUUUGUUCGGCUCUUGUUUCAAAUCAUGGAAUGCCGGGCAUGCACUCAUGUGAAGCACGCAGCUCAGAGAGGCCAUAAAGAUUGUCUAUGCUCGGAAUUACUUUCCUAAAACAAAAUAUUAGCCUUUAUAAUAACGCACAUUCUCUGAAUUAAAAAGUUGAAUUCAUAUUUUAGCUAUUGCCCCCUCCCUGGUGUCCUUAAAUGAGAUUUUUACGGACCCC
rnacentral:lncRNA from 1 species